rnacentral:rRNA from 1 species
UAUCUCUGUAGAGUCUGCAUAUCAAUAAGCGGAGGAAAAGAAACUAACUAGGAUUCCCUCAGUAACGGCGAGUGAAGCGGGAAGAGCUCAAAUUUGAAAUCUUCAAGGUUCUACCUUGACGAAUUGUAGUUUAAAGAAGUGUUUUCUGUUGAAGUUUCGGUAAAAGUUCUUUGGAAUAGGACAUCAUAGAGGGUGAGAAUCCCGUAUUUGACCAUUAUUUCCAGCUUUGUGAUACACUUUCAAAGAGUCGGAUUGUUUGGGAAUGCAGUCCAAAAUGGGUGGUAAAUUUCAUCUAAAGCUAAAUAUUGGCGAGAGGACCGAUAGCGAACAAGUACCGUGAGGGAAAGAUGAAAAGAACUUUGAAAAGAGAGUUAAACAGUACGUGAAAUUGUCAAAAGGGAAGCGUUUGACACCAGUGUUGUUUCUACGAAAAUCAAUUUAUGAUGGCUUGAUGCUAAGCUCUAAGACUUUAUCCGCUUGUUGUUUAGUUUUCUUGUCUUUGUGAAUGCACUUUUCGUGGAACAAGUCAACAUCAAUUUCUUUUGCUGUAAAAGGGUAAGAGGAAGGUGGCUUCGGCUUCGGUUGAAGUGUUUAUAGCCUUUUAUCUCUGCAGUCGGAGAGAUUGAGGUCUGCAGCGUAGACUCUUCGGGGUUAGAUACGUCGGUGCUAAGCUAUAGCUUUUCAUAGACAACUUGUUGACUAUGUUUAGUCAUGUGGCUUACCCGCUGGCGCUAUUUUACCUACGCUUAGGAUGUUGAGUCAUCACACAUCUCU